UCUUUCUCUCCCUCCCUCUAUCUCUGAAAUCAAUAAAAACAUUUGGAAAAAAAAGAAUACAGGUGCUGGGCGCUCUGACCCUACUUAUCUUCUGAGAAGCCACAGAUCUUGGACACCUGGAUGGAGGAUCUGCUUGUCCUGGCUCCUGCGUCUUAGAGUGGUGCUUGCACAAGACACACCAUUGGCAGCAGCAUGAGACCAUGGAACCCCUCAUUGUUACCUUGUCCCCGCGUCCCCGCAGACCAUCUCUAAGUGUGAAUUAACUACCGUUUACCCACCAGCAUAAAAGAGAAACUGCUAUGGAAAAGUACUGAUACUAAAGAAAAAAACAAGUCAGAGCAAAUGUUUAAGCUGACUAAAGUUUCAUAACACUGAAGGCAUCUGCACUGGUUCCUUUUGAAAAGAUGAUAUACUUGCCAAGGACCAAUCACUGUUCUCUGGUAAAUUCCUUUUUUAUUAGAGUUUCUUUACGCAAUUUAACAGGACAGAUAUAAUUUUUUUUGUACUGUUGAUUUAAAAUCUAUAAUAAAUGUGUUUUUAAUUUAGAAUGCAGCAGAGAUCUUAAUUAUGAUGGUAAUAUGCAAAUAAAUUCAAAAUGCAACUAUUUUAAAACUACUGUUUCUAUAUUCUAAUCCCCAGACAAAAAAAUGAACACUAGUCAAUUAAUGAGUUGAAUAUAAAUAAAAAAUGUGCUUUGUAUAUUUAAUAGAUGGAUUGACAUUUUAUGUUUAUGUUUAAACAUUUCAUCUGUAGAAGAAGUAGUUGAACAUUAAAAGUGAAUUAACCUAUUAGCACAACAUCUAGUGAACAGUUAGUUGUUACUUGAUUUCCUAGUUAGUAGUGAGGAUCUGCAAGUAUCCCUCCCAUUAAAAAAUAUUUUUAAAAUAAACUGUGGUAAAAUAUACAUAACAUAAAAAUUUCCAUUUAAACCAUUUAAAAUGGAUAGUUCUACGGACUUAAGUACAUCUACACUGUUCUACAGCCAUCAUCACCACCUAUCUCCAGAACUUUUACUGAAACUCUGUACCCAUCAAACAACUCCCCAGGCUCCCCUUUCCCCAGCUCCUGGCAACUGCCAUUUACUUUAUGUCCGUAUGAAUUUGACUAUUCUUGAUACCUCACACUGUGGAAUCAUAUGACGUGUUUCAUCCUGUGGCUGGCUUAUUGCACAAUGUCCUCAACGAUCCUCCAUGUUGCAGCGUGUAUCAGGCAUUCCUGAAAGUGUUCGCACCAUUUCACAAUCCUUCCAACAGUGCACAACAUUCUAGUUUAUCCAUGUCCUUGUUGACGCUUGUUCAUUUAUGUCCUUUUGGUAGCUGCCAUUUUAAUGGUGUGAGAUGAAGUACUAUCUCAUUGUGGUUUUCAUUUGCAUUUUUUUUAGUGAUUAGUGAUAUUCAGCAUCUUUUCCUGUGCUUAUUGGCCAUACGUUUAUCUUCUCUAGAUAAAUGUCUAUUCCAGUCCCUUUUUAAAUCAUGUUUUGUUGUUGAGCUGUGGGAGUACUUUAUAUAGGCUGUCCCAAGAAAGUGUAUACGCACUUUAACAGCUGAUAGCUCAAUUUUGAAAAUGAAAUGUAUUUUAAUAAAUACUGCCUUUAUAAUUAUUC